GACGAACGCUGGCGGCGUGCCUAAUACAUGCAAGUCGAACGAGAGCGACCGGUGCUUGCACUGGUCAAUCUAGUGGCGAACGGGUGAGUAACACGUGGGUAACCUGCCCAUCAGAGGGGGAUAACAUUCGGAAACGGAUGCUAAAACCGCAUAGGUCUUCGAACCGCAUGGUUUGAAGAGGAAAAGAGGCGCAAGCUUCUGCUGAUGGAUGGACCCGCGGUGCAUUAGCUAGUUGGUGAGGUAACGGCUCACCAAGGCCGUGAUGCAUAGCCGACCUGAGAGGGUGAUCGGCCACAUUGGGACUGAGACACGGCCCAAACUCCUACGGGAGGCAGCAGUAGGGAAUCUUCCGCAAUGGACGCAAGUCUGACGGAGCAACGCCGCGUGAGUGAAGAAGGUUUUCGGAUCGUAAAACUCUGUUGUUAGAGAAGAACAAGUGCUAGAGUAACUGUUAGCGACUUGACGGUAUCUAACCAGAAAGCCACGGCUAACUACGUG
rnacentral:rRNA from 1 species